UACGAAGGGGGCUAGCGUUGUUCGGAAUCACUGGGCGUAAAGCGCACGUAGGCGGCUUUGUAAGUUAGAGGUGAAAGCCCGGGGCUCAACUCCGGAACUGCCUUUAAGACUGCAUCGCUUGAAUCCAGGAGAGGUGAGUGGAAUUCCGAGUGUAGAGGUGAAAUUCGUAGAUAUUCGGAAGGAACACCAGUGGCGAAGGGCGGCUCACUGGACUGGUAUUGACGCUGAGGUGGCGAAAGC
rnacentral:rRNA from 1 species